rnacentral:rRNA from 1 species
GAGGAAUAUUGGUCAAUGGGCGCGAGCCUGAACCAGCCAAGUAGCGUGCAGGAUGACGGCCCUAUGGGUUGUAAACUGCUUUUGUAUGGGGAUAAAGUCAAUCACGUGUGAUUGUUUGCAGGUACCAUACGAAUAAGGACCGGCUAAUUCCGUGCCAGCAGCCGCGGUAAUACGGAAGGUCCGGGCGUUAUCCGGAUUUAUUGGGUUUAAAGGGAGCGUAGGCCGGAGAUUAAGUGUGUUGUGAAAUGUAGACGCUCAACGUCUGACUUGCAGCGCAUACUGGUUUCCUUGAGUACGCACAACGUUGGCGGAAUUCGUCGUGUAGCGGUGAAAUGCUUAGAUAUGACGAAGAACUCCGAUUGCGAAGGCAGCUGACGGGAGCGCAACUGACGCUGAAGCUCGAAGGUGCGGGUAUCGAACAGGAUUAGAUACCCUGGUAGUCCGCACAGUAAACGAUGGAUGCCCGCUGUUGGUACCUAGUAUCAGCGGCUAAGCGAAAGCAUUAAGCAUCCCACCUGGGGAGUACGCCGGCAACGGUG